AUUGAACGCUGGCGGCAGGCUUAACACAUGCAAGUCGAGCGGGGUGAUGGUGCUUGCACUAUCACUUAGCGGCGGACGGGUGAGUAAUGCUUAGGAAUCUGCCUAUUAGUGGGGGACAACAUCUCGAAAGGGAUGCUAAUACCGCAUACGUCCUACGGGAGAAAGCAGGGGAUCACUUGUGACCUUGCGCUAAUAGAUGAGCCUGAGUCGGAUUAGCUAGUUGGUGGGGUAAAGGCCUACCAAGGCGACGAUCUGUAGCGGGUCUGAGAGGAUGAGCCGCCACACUGGGACUGAGACACGGCCCAGACUCCUACGGGAGGCAGCAGUGGGGAAUAUUGGACAAUGGGGGGAAUCCUGAUCCAGCCAUGCCGCGUGUGUGAAGAAGGCCUUAUGGUUGUAAAGCACUUUAAGCGAGGAGGAGGCUCUUUUGGUUAAUACCCAAGAUGAGUGGACGUUACUCGCAGAAUAAGCACCGGCUAACUCUGUGCCAGCAGCCGCGGUAA
rnacentral:rRNA from 1 species